rnacentral:lncRNA from 1 species
ACAGGGUCUAGCUAUGUCUCCCAGGUUGAUCUUGAACUCCUGGGCUUAAGGGAUCCUCCGGCGGCGUUGGCCUCCUGAAGUGCUGGGAUUACACACUUGAGCUACCACACCCGGCCCCUAUGUAGAUUUUGAUUCAAGUUUGGAAAAAGGUUUAAAAAACAAGAACAAAAGGCAUUAUGGGAAAAAAAAAUCAUGUAGUGGCAAUAUUCGGAGACUUUAAGGAACACAGUAAAUGAUGACAUGAUCCUCUUUCUAAGAAAUGUAAGUUUAGCUUUCACAGCAGGGAGAGGAACACUUAGCCACUCUGUGAGUUUUGAUACCUUUGACUUCCCAUGGAAGAUCUC